ensembl:lncRNA
CAACUGACAACAGCCCAUUGGAGGUAACAUUGCCUAAUGGGCUAAUUACAAUUCAUAAGCCUUACAGGUAACCAGCUGUAGGAAAUGGGUGCUACGAAGACUCAAAGAAUCCAAGAAGCCACGUCCUGGUGUCAGGUGCAGAUCUUC